rnacentral:misc_RNA from 1 species
GAUGAAGAACGUAGCGAAAUGCGAUAAGUAAUGUGAAUUGCAGAAUUCAGUGAAUCAUCGAAUCUUUGAACGCACAUUGCGCCCGCCAGUAUUCUGGCGGGCAUGCCUGUUCGAGCGUCAUUACAACCCUCAGGCCCCCGGGCCUGGCGUUGGGGAUCGGCGGAGCCCCCCGUGGGCACACGCCGUCCCCCAAAUACAGUGGCGGUCCCGCCGCAGCUUCCAUCGCGUAGUAGCUAACACCUCGCGCCUGGAGAGCGGCGCGGCCACGCCGUAAAACACCCAACUCUUCUGAAGUUGACCUCGAAUCAGGUAGGAAUACCCGCUGAACUUAAGUAUAUCAAUAAGCGGAGGA